rnacentral:lncRNA from 1 species
CUUGGGCGGCCCCAGCCCCAGGCCCCACGAGUGCGCCUCGCCGCUGAGGCUGGACGUGCCCCCCGAGGGCAGGGAGCGGCCCACGGCCUCCAGCGUGGGGAGCGCCCGAGUCCUCUCGGCCACGAGCUGGACGCUCUUCAGGACGUUUCACCGCCCCCUCGCCCCGCACCUCCAGCCUUCCCGACUCGCAGAGUCUCCCGAGGCCCCUUUUCGCCUCGGGUUUAUUUAUUGACUGUCUUUCCCCCUGUCCUCGACAGAAGAGUGGGAGGUGAGAAGCCCGUCUCCUCAGUGAGCCAGCAUUUCAGGGGGAGCUGGCGGACUCCCACUCCCCGCUCCCUUCCAGCCAAGCUGCCUUAACUCGCCCCUCGGGGCUCCCCCAGAGACUGUGCCCCGGGCGGGCCGCGCGCGCUGUGUCCAGAGUCCUCGGGCCUUCUGGGUCUGGGACGUGCCUCUCCUACUGUGUAGGAGCCUCCGCUUCCCAAUACAG